UACGGAAGGGGGCUAGCGUUGCUCGGAAUUACUGGGCGUAAAGGGAGCGUAGGCGGAUAGUUUAGUCAGAGGUGAAAGCCCAGGGCUCAACCUUGGAAUUGCCUUUGAUACUGGCUAUCUUGAGUACGGAAGAGGUAUGUGGAACUCCGAGUGUAGAGGUGAAAUUCGUAGAUAUUCGGAAGAACACCAGUGGCGAAGGCGACAUACUGGUCCGUUACUGACGCUGAGGCUCGAAAGCGUGGGGAGCAAACAGG
rnacentral:rRNA from 1 species